ensembl:lincRNA
CUGGCCUUCUGCGUCUGCUGGCGCCUGCAGGGCGUCGUCUCCGACGUGACGGCGGCCGCGCGGCGUUUCCCUUGGGCUCUGCCCUGCGCAGCCCUGGUCCGAGCUGGCCAGUAAGGCCCCGCGCCCUCCCCGCCUCGCCGCGAGGAUCCACCGCGGCCGCCCAGGCUGUUGGCCUUGUCCUCACGGCUCGGAGAUAAGCCGGCGCUGGUCACACCGCGAAACCCCUGUUCGCACUGAGACCCCGCUCGGGAUCAUGCGCACAGGCCAGGGCGCAGCAAGCCUUGGAGAAGCUACCUGCACAGCCCAUUCCUUGCGCGAGCUUCGCAUCUUCUGCCUCAGUUUCCUUACCUGUAAAGGGGUGAUCAUAGGACAUCCUUGGUCACACCUUUGUGGGACCCACCUGGGCUAGAGCGCGGUACCCGCCCAGGACAGUGACUGCUGCUGGAAACCGUCGUGGCACUGGGGUCACCUCCCCAAGGUCAGGGAGGGACUUGCAGAGCCCAAGGCUACCUGGUGCGCCCCCCUGCCCCGUGGGCCGCCAGGUCAUAGUGCCCCCUGUGUGCAUUCCCCUGGUGCACCGCAGGGAUCCCCACCUGUCUGGUGAGGAAGAUUUGUCUGUCCUCCACUCUGUGUCCACCCUUACAGGCCCUCAGUUUCCAUGAUGGCUCAGCACAGAUGACUAUCCUGACCACCUCACACCCCUCCUUCCUCAAGAGGGUUCUGGCGUUUCUCUUUGCUCCCUGGUGCGUGUUUUCUCAUGGUGCGCUGCCAAGUCCUUUAAGAAGCCAUGUUUCCCUGUCAUGCAUCCAGGACAGCCCCUUGAACCCCUGGGUCCCCAUCUCAUCACCCCUGCUUGUUUACAUACUGACUUGGUUUUGUUUGUGCUUUGACUCCCCAGGAGGAAGUGGGCUUCCUGCAAGCAGAGCUGUGCCCAGGACCAUGCCAGCCCAUGACAGGCAUUCACCCUGUUCUAACCAGUGAACAAAGGGGAGGAGUAAUUUUUUCAACAAAUGGUGCUGGGAUCUUGCAGGUACCUGAACAUAUGCAAGCUCCUGGAGGGCAGCAUGCCCAGGGAGGGCAGGUAAGCUCUGUGCCCACACCCCCACAACAAACACACACACACAUAUACAUACCCCACACACACAUACCCAACACACGCACACACCCAACACACGCACACAUACCCAACGCACACACUGAACACACACAUACACACACCCAUCAUAACACACACACACACACCCAACACACACCUACACAACCCCCAGACACACACACUCAACACACACACAUACCCAACACACACACAUACCCAACACACAUCCCAGCAUACACAGCAUACACACAUACCCAACACACAUCCCAGCAUACACAGCAUACACACAUACCCAACACAACACACACCAACACACACAACACACAUAACACACUUCCAACACACACAUACACAUACCCAACACACAACAUACACAUAUACACCCCCAAUACACACAACACAUGCCCAGCGCACACAACACACACAUAUACACACCAAACACACACACACGCCUAA